UACGUAGGCAGCGAGCGUUGUUCGGAGUUACUGGGCGUAAAGGGCUCGUAGGCGGCCAACUAAGUCGGACGUGAAAUCCCCAGGCUCAACCUGGGAACUGCGUCCGAUACUGGAUGGCUUGAAUCCGGGAGAGGGAUGCAGAAUUCCAGGUGUAGCGGUGAAAUGCGUAGAUAUCUGGAGGAAGACCAGUGGCGAAGGCGAGUUUCUGGACGGUAACUGACGCUGAGGCACGAAGGCCAGGGGAGCAAACGGG
rnacentral:rRNA from 1 species